rnacentral:rRNA from 1 species
AAUCAACGCUGGCGGCGUGCCUAACACAUGCAAGUCGAACGCGAAAGCCCGCAAGGGUGAGUAGAGUGGCGCACGGGUGAGUAACACGUGGACAACCUGCCUUCGAGUGGGGAAUAACCUUCCGAAAGGAGGGCUAAUACCGCAUAACACCUCGGGACACAAGUUCUGGGGUUGAAAAGAGCAAUUUGCUCGAAGAGGGGUCCGCGCCUGAUUAGCUAGUUGGUGAGGUAACGGCUCACCAAGGCUUCGAUCAGUAGCCGUCCUGAGAGGGAGCACGGCCACACUGGAACUGAGACACGGUCCAGACUCCUACGGGAGGCAGCAGUGGGGAAUUUUGGCAAUGGGCGAAAGCCUGACCAAGCAACGCCGCGUGGGUGAUGAAGUAUCUUGGUACGUAAAACCCUUUCGGCAGGGACGAACCUAAUGAC